rnacentral:rRNA from 1 species
UCCACGCCGUAAACGAUGGGUACUAGGUGUUGCGGUUUUUUAAUAACUGCAGUGCCAAAGUGAAAACAUUAAGUACCCCGCCUGGGGAGUACGGUCUCAAGAUUAAAACUUAAAGGAAUUGACGGGGGCCCGCACAAGCGGUGGAGUAUGUGGUUUAAUUCGAUGCAACGCGAAGAACCUUACCUGGCCUUGACAUCCCGGGAAGUCUUUGGAAACAAGGAUGUGCUCUUCGGAGAACCCGGUGACAGGUGUUGCAUGGCUGUCGUCAGCUCGUGCCGUGAGAUGUUGGGUUAAGUCCCGCAACGAGCGCAACCCCUG